rnacentral:rRNA from 1 species
AUGUUGGAUUUCCGUGAUACCCUCAAUGCAUGUGGUUUAAUUGAUAUUGGUUUUUCUGUCUUACCAUUUACAUAUGACAAUAAGCAGAAGGGACGCAAGAAUGUACGGGUACGGCUGGAUAGAGCAGUUGCCGACAACCAGUGGCGGGAUAUUUUCUCUGAAGCUCAUGUGGUACACAAGGUUUCUCCAUGCUCUGAUCAUAGUCUACUUAUGGUGAACUGCAUAAAGGAGGAACAGAACAACAUCCAUACUAACUUUCGGCGAUAUGAAACCUAUUGGUAAAGAGAUGAGAGCUUACUGAACGUUGCUGCGGCAUGGGAAAAGGCUGGACAGAAAUUCAGUCUAGGGGACAUCCGGUCUGGCCUUGCAAAAAUUAUGAUGGAGCUCCAUGCGUGGGGUAAGGGAAAAUUUGGGAAUAUUAUUAAGGAACUUGAGCAGUCCAGAACACGUUUGGAGGAACUUAUGAGGUUGAAUGCUGAUAGAAAUGAGAUAAGGAAGGUUAGCGAUCAUAUGUAGAAGUUGCUGUACCGCAAGGAGAUGUUAUGGAUGCAACAGAGUCGGGUUGAUUGGCUGCGCGAGGGAGAUCGAAAUACCAAAAUUUUUCAGAGCCGCGUGGUGUGGCGAGCGCGCAAAAACAAAAUGAAACGAUUGAUUGAUGAUAGGGCCAUUUGCAUUUAUGCACCUAACUCAAGCCACCUACUCAGAUUUGCCCCUAAUUUCAAAGCAUGCUCAAAUUUGCCCCUCUACAGUUAA